rnacentral:rRNA from 1 species
GACGAACGCUGGCGGCGUGCCUAAUACAUGCGAGUUGAGCGCUGAAGGUUGGUACUUGUACCAACUGGAUGAGCAGCGAACGGGUGAGUAACGCGUGGGGAAUCUGCCUUUGAGCGGGGGACAACAUUUGGAAACGAAUGCUAAUACCGCAUAAAAACUUUAAACACAAGUUUUAAGUUUGAAAGAUGCAAUUGCACCACUCAAAGAUGAUCCCGCGUUGUAUUAGCUAGUUGGUGAGGUAAAGGCUCACCAAGGCGAUGAUACAUAGCCGACCUGAGAGGGUGAUCGGCCACAUUGGGACUGAGACACGGCCCAAACUCCUACGGGAGGCAGCAGUAGGGAAUCUUCGGCAAUGGACGAAAGUCUGACCGAGCAACGCCGCGUGAGUGAAGAAGGUUUUCGGAUCGUAAAACUCUGUUGGUAGAGAAGAACGUUGGUGAGAGUGGAAAGCUCAUCAAGUGACGGUAACUACCCAGAAAGGGACGGCUAACUACGUG